rnacentral:rRNA from 1 species
GACGAACGCUGGCGGCGUGCUUAACACAUGCAAGUCGAACGGAAAGGCCCUGCUUUUGUGGGGUGCUCGAGUGGCGAACGGGUGAGUAACACGUGAGUAACCUGCCCUUGACUUUGGGAUAACUUCAGGAAACUGGGGCUAAUACCGGAUAGGAGCUCCUGCUGCAUGGUGGGGGUUGGAAAGUUUCGGCGGUUGGGGAUGGACUCGCGGCUUAUCAGCUUGUUGGUGGGGUAGUGGCUUACCAAGGCUUUGACGGGUAGCCGGCCUGAGAGGGUGACCGGCCACAUUGGGACUGAGAUACGGCCCAGACUCCUACGGGAGGCAGCAGUGGGGAAUAUUGCACAAUGGGCGGAAGCCUGAUGCAGCAACGCCGCGUGCGGGAUGACGGCCUUCGGGUUGUAAACCGCUUUCGCCUGUGACGAAGCGUGGGUGACGGUAAUGGGUACAGAAGCACCGGCUAACUACGUG